rnacentral:lncRNA from 7 species
AUUUCUAACUGACUUCACUCUUAUCCUGAUGAAACCAUUCACAGCUCUGCCAGCAGUUUCAGCUGCUAAGGCUGAUGCUUUAAAACCAAAGCAAAGACCAGCACCUGCACCUGCUGACUGCAACAAGGGCUAUUCUCUCUGAUGACCUCAUGGCUUUCUUUUGCAAGAUGGUGCGUUUGCCUCAAGUGUGUGCCUACAGAAGGAAAUCUGGCAUUGGCUGAGUUGGUUCAAGUAAAGCUGGCUCAGACUUCGGAGUGGUGGAGAUGUUAAGUUAAAAGAGAGAAGAAAGCUGAUGAAGCAUCUAUUUUCAAUCAGGGUUCUUCACUGAAGAACAGAUGGACCAAACAUUUCUGUUUAAAAAACGACUGCAAAGUUGAAUUCUUUUGGAGCUCAGCAGCAGCCCUGGUUUUCUGUAUCGCUUCUGGCCAUUUCAGGAAAGGAAGAGCAGGUAAAUCGCUUUAUGUCUCGUUGCUUUGCCUCCUUCGGACCCGCGCUCUGCUUCUUGCACUACCCAGCAACUGAGAGCAUAGGAGUGACAACUUGCCUUGCAGAUCUGGGACGUAUUUGUUGCUUGGUGGCUUUUGCUUUAUUAUUUCUGGUUUUAUGCCCUUCCCUUCCUGGUGAGAAAUAACAGAGAGGAGCCCCAGCCGUGAUAAAAUGCCUUUUUUUCCCAUUGGUUUGGUGCUGCACUAAUGGGUGCUGCCAGAGGACCUGGCCCAUUUAAUGUAUUACUUGCACGUCUGCCUGUUUCUUUCUAUUUUGGAUGAUCCUAGGUGGAUUACAGCAAGGGAAAGAAAAUGAAUCUCAAUGUAUAUCUGCUUCUAUAAAUAAAGCCCUGACCUCAA